CGAAGAAAUUAGAACACCACCAUUGAGCACUGAACCAAUGAUGUUUGAAACGCUGACAUCAAACACUUGUUUCACGGAAUCAAGAACGCGUAUAUUGCUUCGGAACAUGCAUUGUUUUGAGGCUGAUGUCAUGAAUGAUGAAACUGAC
ensembl:ncRNA C41A3.6 ncRNA